rnacentral:rRNA from 1 species
AUGCGGUCAAGUAGUGCCACCUGGCCGGUGAAGUGGCCGACAGCAGGAAUUCCGUCGUCGACAUCGUCGAGAUUCGCUUCAAGGGCCUGGAAGAUGCUCAACAACCAAAUCGUCGUCUCGUCCUCUCCAAGAGAAGGGGCCAACUCAAGCAGGAACGCUAUUGUUGCUUUCGAAAUGCUAUUGGAUCUUAUAAAUUUUUUUGGACCUGUUAUUCAUUCAACAUUGUUAGUUAGCUCACUCGUUGGAGUAGAACUUCAAGCCGAACAGAGGUAUGCUCUCCAACUUUACUUGGGGAAGGGAACUGGGUGUUGCUAA